AAGGAAUAAUAAUAAUAAUAAUAAAUCUUGACUGCUUGACCUUGUGGAUUUUUCUUUUCUGGGUAAAUUGGAUGGUUGUGUUGUUUUCCAUGGAGAACUUAAUUUUCGAUCGAGGCAGCAGAUUGUAAUGUGAGAUCUUGGUGGACCCAAAAAGACCCCUUGAUUGUUGGCUGAUUAAUUCCUUUUUUUUUUACCUGAUUAGAUUAAAAUUGUGCGGAUUAGUCCCAUGUGCAAACCCUUUAGUGUGGAUUUGAAAUUUUGAAUUUAAAACCUGUGAGCUUGAAUUAUGGACAUGAGUCAUGAAAAGCUUAAAAAGGUGAAGUCAAAUUGGAGAGAGAGAAAGAAAUCCUUUUCAGAUUGUUCCUCUCCUGUAACUGUUUUUUAUUAUGGUUGGUGCUGUUUAUUUAUAUUUUGUGUAGCUUUUCACCAUUUCUUGUUAAAAGCUGCAAAAACUCUUUGAUGCUUCCCUACUUUUGUUUCCCCCGCGGGGCCCUUUUCUUUUCCUUCCACCCAUUUUCCCAUCUCCCAAGCAGCGUUAUUUUUUUACCUGUAAAGUUGAAUGUGUUGAUGGGGUCCCUACAAUUUGCAAUGGAAAAUGACUAUUCCCAUUUCUGUACAAGUUUUUGCUUGUGUGUUGAUGGGCAAUUUAAAGGCCUUUCGUGCACAAAAUUUUCAAGGGUGUAUUCUUCCAAAAAUAUGGUUGGCCAUGUGAAUUGAUUUGUUUUCUAUUCCUAAGUAAGUUUUCCUUUUAAAAUUUUGGAAAAUACUAAGCCAUGAUUUUCUAUGGCACUAAAACCAUUGCUUUCUGUACCCGGUCGUGCAUUCCCACUCCCCCCCUCCCUAAAAUCUGUUGAAUAGGAAUUGAAUUUUCAAGCAUUGAGAUGAUGCUGAACUUAAUAUUU
rnacentral:misc_RNA from 1 species